AGCUGCACCGGAUCGACGGCGCGGGUGACAACCAGAUAGUCGCGCAGCGCGAUGCCGUGGCGGUUCUC
rnacentral:sRNA from 1 species